rnacentral:rRNA from 1 species
UACGUAGGGUGCAAGCGUUAAUCGGAAUUACUGGGCGUAAAGCGUGCGCAGGCGGUUUUGUAAGUCUGUCGUGAAAUCCCCGGGCUUAACCUGGGAAUUGCGAUGGAGACUGCAAGGCUGGAGUCUGGCAGAGGGGGGUAGAAUUCCACGUGUAGCAGUGAAAUGCGUAGAGAUGUGGAGGAACACCAGCGGCGAAGGCGGCGCUCUGGGCCGGUACUGACGCUGAGGAGCGAAAGCGUGGGGAGCAAACAGG